UACGGGGGGGGCAAGCGUUGUUCGGAAUUACUGGGCGUAAAGGGCGCGUAGGCGGCCUUCUAAGUCGGACGUGAAAUCCCUCGGCUUAACCGAGGAACUGCGUCCGAUACUGAAAGGCUUGAAUCCGGGAGAGGGAUGUGGAAUUCCAGGUGUAGCGGUGAAAUGCGUAGAUAUCUGGAGGAACACCGGUGGCGAAGGCGGCAUCCUGGGACCGGCAUUGACGCUGAGGCGCGAAAGCUAGGGGAGCAAACGGGG
rnacentral:rRNA from 1 species